CUGGCUCAGGAUGAACGCUAGCGACAGGCUUAACACAUGCAAGUCGAGGGGCAGCGGGGGCGAAGCUUGCUUCGCCUGCCGGCGACCGGCGCACGGGUGAGUAACACGUAUGCGACCUGCCCCCCGCAGGGGGAUAACCGGGAGAAAUCCCGACUAAUACCGCGUAACGCCGCUGGGCUGCAUGGCCCGGCGGCCAAAGGAAGCGAUUCCGGCGGGGGAUGGGCAUGCGGCGCAUUAGCUAGUCGGCGGGGUAACGGCCCACCGAGGCGACGAUGCGUAGGGGUUCUGAGAGGAAGGUCCCCCACACUGGUACUGAGACACGGACCAGACUCCUACGGGAGGCAGCAGUGAGGAAUAUUGGUCAAUGGGCGGGAGCCUGAACCAGUCAAGUCGCGUGAGGGAAGACGGUCCUACGGAUUGUAAACCUCUUUUGCCGGGGAGCAACGGGGUCCUUGCGAGGGCCCGAUGAGAGUACCCGGAGAAAAAGCAUCGGCUAACUCCGUGCCAGCAGCCGCGGUAAUACGGAGGAUGCGAGCGUUAUCCGGAUUUAUUGGGUUUAAAGGGUGCCGUAGGCGGGCUGUUAAGUCAGCGGUCAAAUGUCGGGGCUCAACCCCGGCCUGCCGUUGAAACUGGCGGCCUCGAGUGGGCGAGAAGUAUGCGGAAUGCGUGGUGUAGCGGUGAAAUGCAUAGAUAUCACGCAGAACUCCGAUUGCGAAGGCAGCAUACCGGCGCCCGACUGACGCUGAGGCACGAAAGCGUGGGUAUCGAACAGGAUUAGAUACCCUGGUAGUCCACGCAGUAAACGAUGAAUGCUAGCUGUCCGGUUCUACGGGACUGGGUGGCACAGCGAAAGCGUUAAGCAUUCCACCUGGGGAGUACGCCGGCAACGGUGAAACUCAAAGGAAUUGACGGGGGCCCGCACAAGCGGAGGAACAUGUGGUUUAAUUCGAUGAUACGCGAGGAACCUUACCCGGGCUCAAACGCCAAAGGACAGCCGCUGAAAGGCGGCCUCCCUCCGGGGUCUUUGGCGAGGUGCUGCAUGGUUGUCGUCAGCUCGUGCCGUGAGGUGUCGGCUUAAGUGCCAUAACGAGCGCAACCCCCAUCGACAGUUGCUAACGGGUGAUGCCGAGGACUCUGUCGAGACUGCCGGCGCAAGCUGCGAGGAAGGCGGGGAUGACGUCAAAUCAGCACGGCCCUUACGUCCGGGGCGACACACGUGUUACAAUGGCCGGUACAGCGGGAUGCCAGGGCGCGAGCCCGAGCGGAACCCGAAAACCGGUCUCAGUUCGGAUUGGAGUCUGCAACCCGACUCCAUGAAGCUGGAUUCGCUAGUAAUCGCGCAUCAGCCACGGCGCGGUGAAUACGUUCCCGGGCCUUGCACUCACCGCCCGUCA
rnacentral:rRNA from 1 species